UAAACGACUCUCGACAACGGAUAUCUCGGCUCACGCAUGGAUGAAGAACGUAGCAAAAUGCGAUACUUGGUGUGAAUUGCAGAAUCCCGUGAACCAUCGAGUUUUUGAACGCAAGUUGCGCCUAAAGCCUUUUGGCCAAGGGCACGUCUGCCUGGGCGUCACAC
rnacentral:rRNA from 1 species